AUGAGGAUGGCUGAAGGGGCUGCGAUGAUAAGAAAGCUGACGCCUGAAGAAAGGGCCAGGAUUAUUGCCAAAUCAAUGGCUGAAAAAUCUGCCAGGGAGGCUGACGAAGCUGGAGGUGAUGAGCAGGAGAGUGGACCGGCACAAUGCGAGGAAGAAUCGUUCGCUGCCGAGUUUCGCUCUUUCUGGGACAGAUUCUACGCUCGCUGCUGCGGUGCUACCUUCGACCAGACCACAUCUAUCCCUGCCAUGUGUCACACGAAUCCUGCUUCUGAACGCUCGGCCAAGGCCAUGGACACUCUGCAGAUUAUGUCAGUCAAAGUUGCAUCAAUCAACGGGGAUUUGCGCUGGCCACUGGAAGUGUUUGGUAUGAUAGCUGCACGUGAUGUCUUGGAUCAGAAGCGCAAUUUUAUUUUCCACCGUGCGAGGACUAACUGCCAGACCAUCACCCAGGAGGAUUGCUACCUAGCACUGGCGGGUUCUACCCGUGCUAUUGUCGUGGCAUAUGAUCCUUCAUACAUUGAGGUUUCGCUGAAAGUGAAGGGCACUACAGAAUCUGAGGAUAAAGAUUUAAGUGCUCUUGUGGUGGUGUUUAGAGCUGGAUACUGUCCUGAAAAUGGAUUUCGUGGUGUAUAUAGUGCUGCCUCCCGUAGUGAUGACAACCUGCAGGUCAAGUUGCUUGAAUAUGAAGAUGGCGGAUUGCCCGUUGAUGCUGAUGGUGUGAUCACGCUCUCACGACGUGUGGUCUCUGUUGAACUUGAGAGAAACCUGAAGGUUUCAGUAAUGGCAAUUCCAGUUAACGAGGGAGAUGCCGUUGAGACCAGCGAAGCAGUUUUAAAAUCUCAUAGAGCUGGUGUAAGUCCCGCAGGCAUCAAUCUCAACGUUGGCUCCUGCAAUAUGGAAGUUCGUGUUGCUUGGUCCUGUUUCCGUCGUGAGUGUUGA
rnacentral:rRNA from 1 species